CUCACCGGCAACUGUGCUGAGCUCACAGCCAAGGCAAAGCUAUAUCAGGGAGGGCGAGCAGAGGCGGGGAGCUAAGGAUCGUGGCUGGUUUGGGGAAAACAGCUGAGGAGGGUCAGGCUGAUUCUCCCCACCUCCUGGCAUCACCUGACCUGCUCUUUCUUUUCCAAUGGUCCCUCCUUUGCAGUCUAGUGCAAUGGGAAUCACACAGGAUUGGAGUUAAAUAGUAAAUCAGGAUGCCGGUCCCUGUCGACCAACUCUGGGACAGUGAGCAACCUGCCCAGUGAAUCCCAACCUGGGUCUUCACAUCUGUAAAAUGGGACGAGGAACCCCGAUCGACCUACCUCCAGAGCUGCUGAGAAGGUCCAAUGACUCUCAAGAAAUUCAACUAGACCGAUAUGGACAGACGCCUACUAUGCACCAGCACGCUGCGGCGCUCCGGGGAGGGAGAGGAGCACACUCUCGCAGAGCUCACCCGCGAGUGGGUGGGAGAAGACUGAGUCCUCAGAGGGAAAAUCGUCUCAGAAUUACCAGGGAUGCGUGGCCGGCUGCACUUAGGGGAAGCUUCCUGAACCCAGGCCUCCCUGCAGGGUGAAGGAGCCACAUUCGCUCAAACACUGGAGCCUCAUUCAUUCAUUCAUUCAUUCAUUCAUUCAUUCAUUCGACAAUCACUGAGACUGUACGCCCCACCCUGUGCUGGGCCUGGGGAUGUGGAAAUUCAUCCAACUCGGUCCCAGAACUCAAGGAGCUCAGAGUCUGGUGGGAAGAUGGGUGUGUAAACGUGAAUCCACGGAGGUGGUGAGAUCUUUGACAGGGGAUGGAGGAAUGCUGCAGAAGCACAAAGGGAAGGUGGGAGGGCUUCCUGGAGGAGGCCUGCUUUGGCUGGGUCUUUGGGCUGCUCUAGACCCUGGAAGCCCUUAGAGCCCGACCCCCUGCCUGGUGCUGCACCCAUGUUACAGGGGAGAGCACUGAGGUCCAGAUAGGGUGAAUGACUUGCCAGGGUCAUAAAAGGAAAGGCAGCUUCAUAUCUGACCUGAAUAAAUAAUGUAUUCUGG
rnacentral:lncRNA from 1 species